ACAUUUUCAAAACGCGUCACCCGGCCACCGCCACAGCUGCUGCCCAGCCGCUCGAGCAGGCAGCCGCACGGCCAGUGCACAGCAGACAGCACCGGCAAGCAGCCAAGUAGCUGCUUCUCAUCCGGCGCCAGGUCCAGUGCGCGCGCCUUAUCUGCUGCAGCUGCUUGUCGUCCUCGUUCGUCGUCCCUCGGCACCGGCAGGUCCAGACCGACGCUGCGCUCAGUUUGAAGCUCCUCCAUGGCGUCGGACUGGGACUGGGACAGCGACAGCGACUGUGAAGUACGCAUGAUUAACCAUCCUUGCGAGCGUCGUGCUGGUGCUGCUACUCAAGCAGAGAAAGGAAAGGCUAUGGGCGUUACAUGCUAUGAUGUGAGAGAAAUUGGUGGUGAGCUAGUUCGGUGGAACGCAACUAGGUUUGGUACUGUUUUUAUUUUUCUGCAGAGUUUUUUGGAUAGAAAAGAUAAAUUUAAGUUGUGGAUGGCAUCAGCUGAUUGGGAGAACUGUAAGUGGGCUGGUGAAGAAGAUCAUGAAUUCGCAUAUGAUUGUUUGACAAAAAAUAAAUGGUGGAGUGACAUGGAAAAGGUUUUGAAAGCGGUGUCCCCAAUCUACCCUGUACUUCGUUUAGCUUAUCAACAGAAGAGUGUGUCUAUAUCGUCUUUUCUUCCAAAAAUGAUGAGUGCUAUGGCUAAAAUACGAUCCAAUUUGGGUGAUGAUCCUAUCAACAAAAAUCUGUGUGAUAGAUUAAUGUAAGUAAUCAAUAGAAGACUUGACUAUAUGCUCAAUGAUACUCUUAUGCUUGCAGUUGCUGCCCUUAACCCUGAAGCGCUAUAUACUUCCAAAAUGGCAAGAAAACCGAAGUUCCAACAUGCUGUGACAAUGGCCAUAAAGAAACUUUCAAGCUCAUCUUCAAAGGCUUCAGCUGCAAUUGAUCAAUAUUCUUUCUUCAGAAAGCAAGCUCGGUUAUUUGGAGGAGAAGAGGCUAAAGAUUCAGCACUUAAUGGCCGCGCAAGUGCAGCUGAUUGGUGGGAUCAAUAUGGUGGAGACUAUCCAGAAUUACAAGAGUUUACACGUCAUAUUGUUUCUCAAUGCAUGUCCUCUAGUGGUUGUGAACGUAAUUGGAGUACCUUCGCUUUGGUUCAUACCAAAUUGAGGAAUCGGUUGAGUUAUGAUAAGUUGCAUAAACUGGUUUAUGUUCACUACAACUUGAAGUUGCGCAUUCAACAUUUUGAAACUGAUAUAGAAAGUUUUGAACAAAUGAAAAACUCUAAAGAUAGAAACAUAGAUCCAUGUAGCAUCAUGAUAGAUGUUGCUAUGUAUGAUGAAGGCAACCCGAUUAUGGAAUGGUUGUGCAGUUCUAGGAGUGAAUCAGUGCCGACACUUGAUGAAAAUGAUGAGCCUGAAUCCCCUAACAGACCAAGUGGAUUCGUUUUAGAGGAGUUAGGAGGAUUGAAUGAAGAAGAGAUGGUUCUUUUAAAUUCUAGGAUUGGUUCUGGUAGGAAAAAUGGUAGGAAAAGGAAUGUUGUAGAAGAAGAUAUUGGAGAUGAUUUCUUAUCAGAUAGUAGUGAGGGAGGAGGUAGCCCAACCUACAACGAAUCAGGUGGUGGUGAUGACGAAGAUGGUGAACCUAGUGGUCCAUGUUUUGCAGCUAGGACACAACCUAAAUUAGCUACAGACCAAUAUAAUGGUCCUGGUCAAGAUGAACAAGCAGCGCCUCUCCGUCCAAGAUCAAAAAGGCAGAAGAAGCUCUCCAUCAAGGGCCUGUACAUGCUUCAGAAGUGAUCUAAUCUUCAAGCACAAGCACAAGAAUAUGGCGUA